UGUGGUUAAAAAGCUCGUAGUUGGAUCUCGGCGGACUGAGGGCGGUUUGCUUGCUAGUAUUACUGCCCUAUAGUCCGUAGUUUUGCCAGAGGUUUCGGGGUGCUCUUAAUCGAGUGUCCCGGGAUGCUGGCAGGUUUACUUUGAAAAAAUUAGAGUGCUCAAAGCAGGCUAUUGCGCCUGAAUAUUCGUGCAUGGAAUAAUAGAAUAGGAAGUCGUUUCUAUUUUGUUGGUUUUCGGAAAUCGACAUAAUGAUUAAUAGGGACAGUCGGGGGCAUUUGUAUUCAAACGACAGAGGUGAAAUUCUUGGACCGUUUGAAGACAAACUACUGCGAAAGCAUUUGCCAAGAAUGUUUUCAUUAAUCAAGAACGAAAGUUAAAGGUUCGAAGGCGAUUAGAUACCGCCCUAGUUUUAACCAUAAACGAUGCCAGCUAGCGAUCUGCGGACGUUUUUUUUGUAGACUCCGCAGGAAGCUUCCGGGAAACCAAAGCAUUUGGGUUCCAGGGGAAGUAUGGUUGCAAAGCUGAAACUUAAAGGAAUUGACGGAAUGGCACCACCAGGAGUGGAGCCUGUGGCUU
rnacentral:rRNA from 1 species